GACGAACGCUGGCGGCGUGCUUAACACAUGCAAGUCGAACGAUGAAGCCGGAGCUUGCUCUGGUGAAUUAGUGGCGAACGGGUGAGUAACACGUGAGUAACCUGCCCUUGACUCUGGGAUAACUGCUAGAAAUGGUAGCUAAUACCGGAUACGACCCUCGGAGGCAUCUCCCGGGGGUGGAAAGAAUUUCGGUCAAGGAUGGACUCGCGGCCUAUCAGCUAGUUGGUGAGGUAAUGGCUCACCAAGGCGACGACGGGUAGCCGGCCUGAGAGGGUGACCGGCCACACUGGGACUGAGACACGGCCCAGACUCCUACGGGAGGCAGCAGUGGGGAAUAUUGCACAAUGGGCGCAAGCCUGAUGCAGCAACGCCGCGUGAGGGAUGAAGGCCUUCGGGUUGUAAACCUCUUUUAGCAGGGAAGAAGCGAAAGUGACGGUACCUGCAGAAAAAGCACCGGCUAACUACGUGCCAGCCGCCGCAGUAA
rnacentral:rRNA from 1 species